rnacentral:rRNA from 1 species
UCCGGUUGAUCCUGCCGGAGGUUACUGCUAUCGGUGUUUGACUAAGCCAUGCGAGUCAAAUGUUCUUCGUGAACAUGGCGCAAUGCUCAGUAACACGUGGAUAACCUGCCCUCAGGUCCGGCAUAAUCUCGGGAAACUGAGGAUAAUUCCGGAUAUCCCUUUUCUGUUGGAAGACUUAAAGGGACAAAGAAUUUCGCCUGAGGAUGGGUCUGCGGCCUAUCAGGUUGUAGGGGGUGUAAGGUACCUCCUAGCCGACGACGGGUACGGGUUGUGAGAGCAAGAGCCCGGAGAUGGAUUCUGAGACAUGAAUCCAGGCCCUACGGGGCGCAGCAGGCGCGAAAACUUUACAAUGCAGGAAACUGUGAUAAGGAGACACCGAGUGCUCGCAUCAAAUGCGGGCUGUCCGCUUACUUAAAUCGUAAGCGUUAGCAAGGGCCGGGCAAGACCGGUGCCAGCCGCCGCGGUAAUACCGGUGGCCCGAGUGGUAGCCGCUUUUAUUGGGUCUAAAGGGUCCGUAGCCGGUUCGGUCAGUCCAUUGGGAAAUCCGGAUGCUCAACAUCCGGGCUUCCAGUGGAUACUGCCGAACUUGGGAUCGGGGGAGGUAAGAGGUACUAUAGGGGUAGGAGUGAAAUCUUGUAAUCCCUGCGGGACCACCUGUGGCGAAGGCGUCUUACCAAAACGAGUCCGACGGUGAGGGACGAAAGCUGGGGGCACGAACCCGGAUUAGAUACCCGGGUAGUCCCAGCCGUAAACGAUGCUCGCUAGGUGUCAGGCAUGGCGUGACUGUGUUUUGGUGCCGAAGGGAAGCCGUGAAGCGAGCCACCUGGGAAGUACGGCCGCAAGGCUGAAACUUAAGGAUUGGCGGGGGG